rnacentral:tRNA from 1 species
AUCGCGGUGGGCAGGCCGGUGCGGUCCUCGUUGAUGGUGGGGAAGUCCGUCACCAGGUCGUCGAGUUCCUGCUCGGUCGCGGUCCC